GACGAACGCUGUCGGCGUGCUUAACACAUGCAAGUCGAACGGAAAGGCCCUGCUUUUGUGGGGUGCUCGAGUGGCGAACGGGUGAGUAACACGUGAGUAACCUGCCCUUGACUUUGGGAUAACUUCAGGAAACUGGGGCUAAUACCGGAUAGGAGCUCCUGCUGCAUGGUGGGGGUUGGAAAGUUUCGGCGGUUGGGGAUGGACUCGCGGCUUAUCAGCUUGUUGGUGGGGUAGUGGCUUACCAAGGCUUUGACGGGUAGCCGGCCUGAGAGGGUGACCGGCCACAUUGGGACUGAGAUACGGCCCAGACUCCUACGGGAGGCAGCAGUGGGGAAUAUUGCACAAUGGGCGGAAGCCUGGUGCAGCAACGCCGCGUGCGGGAUGACGGCCUUCGGGUUGUAAACCGCUUUCGCCUGUGACGAAGCGUGAGUGACGGUAAUGGGUAAAGAAGCACCGGCUAACUACGUGCCAGCAGCCGCGGUGAUACGUAGGGUGCGAGCGUUGUCCGGAUUUAUUGGGCGUAAAGGGCUCGUAGGUGGUUGAUCGCGUCGGAAGUGUAAUCUUGGGGCUUAACCCUGAGCGUGCUUUCGAUACGGGUUGACUUGAGGAAGGUAGGGGAGAAUGGAAUUCCUGGUGGAGCGGUGGAAUGCGCAGAUAUCAGGAGGAACACCAGUGGCGAAGGCGGUUCUCUGGGCCUUUCCUGACGCUGAGGAGCGAAAGCGUGGGGAGCGAACAGGCUUAGAUACCCUGGUAGUCCACGCUGUAAACGGUGGGUACUAGGUGUGGGGUCCAUUCCACGGGUUCCGUGCCGUAGCAAACGCUUUAAGUACCCCGCCUGGGGAGUACGGCCGCAAGGCUAAAACUCAAAGGAAUUGACGGGGCCCCGCACAAGCGGCGGAGCAUGCGGAUUAAUUCGAUGCAACGCGUAGAACCUUACCUGGGUUUGACAUGGAUCGGGAGUGCUCAGAGAUGGGUGUGCCUCUUUUGGGGUCGGUUCACAGGUGGUGCAUGGCUGUCGUCAGCUCGUGUCGUGAGAUGUUGGGUUAAGUCCCGCAACGAGCGCAACCCUUGUUCACUGUUGCCAGCACGUUAUGGUGGGGACUCAGUGGAGACCGCCGGGGUCAACUCGGAGGAAGGUGGGGAUGACGUCAAGUCAUCAUGCCCCUUAUGUCCAGGGCUUCACGCAUGCUACAAUGGCUGGUACAGAGAGUGGCGAGCCUGUGAGGGUGAGCGAAUCUCGGAAAGCCGGUCUCAGUUCGGAUUGGGGUCUGCAACUCGACCUCAUGAAGUCGGAGUCGCUAGUAAUCGCAGAUCAGCAACGCUGCGGUGAAUACGUUCCCGGG
rnacentral:rRNA from 1 species